rnacentral:rRNA from 1 species
GGCUCAGAUUGAACGCUGGCGGAAUGCUUUACACAUGCAAGUCGAACGGGUAGAGGGGGCAACCCUUGAGAGUGGCGAACGGUGAGUAAUAUAUCGGAACGUGCCCAGUCGUGGGGGAUAACGUAGCGAAAGCUACGCUAAUACCGCAUACGAUCUAUGGAUGAAAGCGGGGGAUCGCAAGACCUCGCGCGAUUGGAGCGGCCGAUAUCAGAUUAGGUAGUUGGUGAGGUAAAGGCUCACCAAGCCGACGAUCUGUAGCUGGUCUGAGAGGACGACCAGCCACACUGGUACUGAGACACGGCCCAGACUCCUACGGGAGGCAGCAGUGGGGAAUUUUGGACAAUGGGCGCAAGCCUGAUCCAGCAAUGCCGCGUGCAGGAUGAAGGCCUUCGGGUUGUAAACUGCUUUUGUACGGAACGAAACGGUGAGCUCUAAUACAGUUUGCUAAUGACGGUACCGUAAGAAUAAGCACCGGCUAACUACGUG